GACGAACGCUGGCGGCGUGCCUAAUACAUGCAAGUUGAGCGAUGAAGAUUGGUUCUUGCACCAAUUUGAAGAGCAGCGAACGGGUGAGUAACGCGUGUGGAAUCUGCCUUUGAUCGGGGGACAACAUUUGGAAACGAAUGCUAAUACCGCAUAAUAACUUUAAACAUAAGUUUGAAGUUUGAAAGAUGCAAUUGCAUCACUCACAGAUGAUUCCGCGUUGUAUUAGCUAGUUGGUGAGGUAAAGGCUCACCAAGGCGGUGAUACAUAGCCGACCUGAGAGGGUGAUCGGCCACAUUGGGACUGAGACACGGCCCAAACUCCUACGGGAGGCAGCAGUAGGGAAUCUUCGGCAAUGGACGAAAGUCUGACCGAGCAACGCCGCGUGAGUGAAGAAGGUUUUCGGAUCGUAAAACUCUGUUGGUAGAGAAGAACGUUGGUGAGAGUGGAAAGCUCAUCAAGUGACGGUAACUACCCAGAAAGGGACGGCUAACUACGUG
rnacentral:rRNA from 1 species